AAACUAUCAUUUAGUGUCUUGCUGAGACAAGAAAAUGUUUUCACAACCCAAGACAAGUUAAAUAUCCACUUGUGGGAACAGUACCAAAGGCCUGGACUAGGACAGUAGUAAUGGAGACAGACUGAAGGUCAGCAUAACAGUCAACAAUAGCACGUAGUGCCUGAUUGGAAAUACAGAGUAAAUCACAGUGAGGAAAAGAUGUGCAAUCAUUCCCUUGCAUAUGGUGCAUAUGAAGAUGGAAUCAUUACAGGAAAGGUGGAGGAGAUGCAGUCAUUAUGCUCUGUAUACACCCAUUUUUGUGGUUAGCAGCUAAAGAUGAAUUCUUUCUUUUCUGGAAGACCUAUUACCAGUUAGGUUGCAAAAGAUGUGAUCAUCAUCCUUAACAAUAAUUUAGAGUCCCAUAAUAAUUUUAAGAGUGUUGCUCAUGAAAAUUUGAAUACAUUGUAUUGGGAAUGUAAUGGAAAUGAGAUGACUUAUGAGAAAAUCUGACAUAAAGUCUUUAAGCAUGAGAGGCCAUGUGAGUAGGGAAGCCCUGAAGGGGAAAAAGAAACACAGCCAGACCCUAGCUGUUCCAGUCACCCCAGCUGAGGUGCCAGACUUGUGAAUGAGGCCAUCUUGCAUCAUCUAGGCCUCGUAGAGCUGCCAACUGACUGCAAACACACGAGUCAAUCCAGCUAAUGCCACAUGGAGCAGAGACAAGCCACCCAGCUGAGCCCAGUCCAGAUGAUAGAAUCUUACACAAAUAAGGUGGUUGUUCUUUUAAGCCACAAAUUUUAGGGUGAUUUGUUACACAGUAAUAAGUAACUGAAAUAACUA